CUUCUCAGCAGUCACUUCCAGGUUCCAGAACUCAAAAAUUCAAUGCUUACUGCUUAAACCACUCAGUCCAUACUAGUCUCUUACAGCACUCUGGAAACACACUGGGUUACAAAACGCCUCGGGAACUCGUCAUCAUACAUAGUCUAGUCAGAAGCCACUAGAUUAAAUAAAUAAAUAAAUAAAUAAAAUGGUAAGUAGAAGAGAUUAGGCAGAAAUAACAAGAGAAUUAAGAUAGAUAUAGCUGAACGUGUUAGGACAUGUAGGCCUAGCUACCAGUUAGGUGGAAAGGGAGGUGGAAGGUUUAUAAUUGUAUUUUAGACUGUCCUAAACUAUUUUUUUGCAUCUGUAUUACUUUUACUAUAAUAACUUUUAACUCUUUAAUAAGUAGUGUAUCUCAGAGAUACCUGUAAGCAUGACUGACAGCUGUAUUCAGUUAACCCCAAGAUUGUCUAAGGGCCCAAACACAAUGAACAUUCAUUUUUCACUCUCAGGGAGCACAGCUCUAGGUGGUGAGCUGGGGGCUGGAGGACUGAGAAUCGAGGAGAAGCCUCCGUUCUCCACAGUCCCUUAAGAACCAAGGUUGGCUUUUCCAUCUUAGCUUGUUAUGAAGGUCACCACCCAGAAGGCAGAAAAAGAAAGAACUCGGGGAACCAUGCAGAAGAGGAUUAUCAUGAGAUUCACAGCGGGCCAUGGACUUCUGCUUACUGAUGUAAAACUCAGUCCCUCCACCCCACUAAACUACAAGGAAGCCUGGGCGAUAUGGUCUCCACGCAUUCUCUACGAAAAAGGAAAUGAUUUAACGAAGCCAAAUUCUGGAACGGUGGUUCGUGUCAUGCAAAGAUCCAUUGAGGGCAAGCUUUAAGAGGGCUUAGAAUUGCAGGACAAACCACAGAGUGGGGGGCACAGAGAACAAGGUUUCCUGCCAUCUCACUACUCUGAUCGUCUUGGCUGUAGUUCCAUCACCUUCCAUCACAGACUAUUGCCCAGGUAAAUGCAAGCCAUUUCUGAGGAGUUGGCAAACUUUUCCAGAAACCCUAGAAGACAUCCCCUUGGGCCUCAGCUAUAACCAAAUUGCACAAGCAGCCACUGAUACAUAACUGACUCCUAGCAAAUGAGUUUGCAGCUGAGAGUGAUUGUCCCAGUGAAAGUCAGCGUGGAAAAUGGAGUCUGAGAAGUGGGAACACUACCCACUCUACUCUCCUACCCCACACCCUUUCAUCUUCCACAACUGCCUACUUUACCUAAUCCCUUGUUUUGUGUUACUUCUGUUUUCAACCAAGGGAAACACUUUCCCUGAGUUAUCUCAUCUUCUCUCAAAGAAUCAGGAGCCCUCCAUUUGAGAAUGGCCGCACAGAAGAGGUAAUGUGAACUGGAGAGUUGGUGCGACAGUUAGGAACAUUUGCUGCCCUUCCAGAGGACAUGGGUUUAAUCCAGACACCCACAUGGUGGCUCACAGUUGUCUAUAGCUUCAGUUCCAGGACAUUCUAUGCCUUCUAGCCUUUGAGGACAUCAUGCAUGCACAUGUUCUG
rnacentral:lncRNA from 1 species